AAAUUAGUUUUCACCAUCAGCUGGUAUACUUGGUUGUACACAGAUAUUGAAGUGUGCCAAGUGUCACGAUUGGUACCCGACCUUGUGCCACAGGCCCACGAUCGGUGACUGGCACUGCCCGUCCUGCCAGCGGAAGCUCAACGAGGUGGUCGAACACGGUGCAUCCCAGCAGCCCAUGGAGCAGACGUUCAACAGAGACUGGGACAUGGAACCAACUCCAAAUCAAAGUUUGGAGAGAAGUCCUCAAGGAGAAGGAGAGCAUGGAGCAAGUCCUUGGUUUUCUAUACGGGAGUGUGCCAAGUGUCACUUAGGGUACCCGAGCUUGUGCAAGAGUCGUGCGGCCACCGAGCUGUCAGU